UGAAAACAUAAAAUUGGUCACUAAUGGUACUCAAUAAAAUGGCACCAACAUAUUUUUUUGUGGAAAACUUUAGAGGACAAAACUUUGCUACGAAAUUUUACGUUUUGUCCCUAAAAGUAUGUGCUUCAUAUAUUUAGAUAUGAAAUGUAAUUUUCGUCAUAAAAGGUGAACAAUUAGUGACGAAUUUCAUCUCGUAGCUAAUAAUUUCGUAGCUAUAUAUCA
rnacentral:lncRNA from 1 species